rfam:Domibacillus antri strain XD80 WGS_contig_9, whole genome shotgun sequence.
UAUAUAUGUACAUUUGUACCGUAGACAGCAGGGGCUUACGCUUAAUCAUCCUGCCGAGGACAUGCGAAAUAGAUAGUGCGACAUUUUUGUCCGCUUUUCGUGCCUCUAUGUCUUCCGGGACAUAGAGGCUUUUUACGUUUCCCG